rnacentral:misc_RNA from 1 species
CGGUCAGUGAUGGCGGAAAAAGUCGUACCGACACGGGACAGUUUUGGUCGUCUGCAGGACGGGACGGAAAUUAGCAGAUUUACUUUUAAAAACAAGAGCGAUGUAACAGUCCGAAUUAUCAACUAUGGUGGAAUUAUCACCGACAUUCUCGUUCCGGAUAAAAACGGAAAAGUAGUUGACAUCAACCUAGGUUUUGAUGACAUUAAGGGAUACGAAGCUCGGCAUCCUUAUUUUGGCGCAAUCUGCGGUAGGGUCGCCAACAGAAUUGCCGGUGGAACAUUUAGUCUAGACGGAAAAGAGUACCAACUUCCGGUUAAUAACGGCCCAAAUCACCUACACGGCGGAGUAAAGGGCUUUGAUAAGGUGGUGUGGGAUGCGCGGGCGGACGGAGACACGCUUGUUUUGAGGUACGUCAGUCCGGAAGGCGAGGAACAAUAUCCAGGGGAGCUAACUACGGAGGUCAGAUACCGACUGACCAAUGAGAACGAGCUUAGUAUCGACUACACGGCAACGACGACAAAAGCCACGCCCAUCAACCUAACAAACCACGCCUACUUGAACCUAGCUGGACAGGGUUAUCCCAACCUUGAGGAUCACGUGAUUUGGAUUGACGCCUUCACGUACACGCCCCUGGAUGAGAACAGCAUUCCGACAGCCUAGAACAUCCGCCUUCCGGUCGAAAAAUGGAAGUUUUUACAACAGAGCCCGGACUGCAGUGCUACACCGGAUGUAAUAUGAAGCCGGAAGUGUUCGGGAAGGGAGGCGUGGAAUACCGGAAGUUAGCCUCAGUUUGUUUAGAGACCCAGCACUACGCUAACAGUGUAAAUCAGCCCAACUUCCCCAGUACGAUCCUCCGUCCGGGUCAAACCUACCGUCACACCACUGUGUACAAAUUCGGACUGGUGUCGUAAUGCUUUACCACUGUGUUAGAUAUUUUUCAUUUUAAGUAUGAUUCAUUGAAUUUAAUGUGCUUUAAAAAGGAAUGGAGUUUAAUUGUUUUUAUGACCCAAAAGAGAAAACAUCUGUGUCUUUGCUAGUAAGAUUUCUGCGUGUUUAUCUGUCAUAUAUGUUGUGCAUAUUAUACAUGCAUAUUUCCUCUAAAGUGUUAUUUCGGUUAAUGGAAUAAAGUUUAUUGUCAUC